AUUGUUUAUUAAUGUGAAGUCGAAGUUUGGGGUGAUUAGCCUUAUCUCGUUAAAUUUUGUUCAGUAUGAAACAGUCUGAACAGCCAUCCUCGAUUUUGUCAACAAUCUAAAACGUGCUAAGGAGUAGUCAUUCGUCGAUUUACCUGCGGCUUCCAGAUGAUCUGAAGAUCGGGAAUAUAGAAAAUAUUGUCAAUUUGAUAUUGCUAAUGACCCAGUCAUGUCUGCUGAAGCCCAGAAGUUUCCAGACCAUGACAUUAAUGAAUAUUUCUUGAAUGGAAUGCAUGAGGAUUAGAAUGGAACCUUAUUCUGCCCUUUUACCAACCAUCUUUUCAAGAUUUAUGGAGCCAACUACAGAAGAAUUUGAUCUAUACACAUCAUUCAUAACAUUCUUAUUUAUGUUGCAUAACUUUAAAUGUUACUGGAUGAAUUGUGUUCACAUAAUGAAUACCAGCAAACUUUUUAUCGAGUGCACUUAAUUUGUAUUUUUCCUACCCAUCCAUCUAACAUAUGUUUUUAUAUAACAUAUUCAUAUACAUGUAACAUUUAUGGAAACAGCUAUUUUUUUAAAAUUGGAAUUUAGCCUUACUAUUUUGUUCAAUUUUUUUUUAAAGGGACUUGGACACGAUUUUAGAUCAAAAUUUUGUUUUCAAUUUCUUUAUGCAUAAAAUGAUUUACUUGCACAUUUUGAAUAAUUGACCAUAAUUUGAAUGUUA